GACGAACGCUGGCGGCGUGCUUAACACAUGCAAGUCGAGCGAGGCCCUCCUUCGGGAGGUGUCCUAGCGGCGAACGGGUGAGUAACACGUGGGCAACCUGCCCCUGGCUCUGGGAUACCUCCAAGAACUUGGGGCUAAUACCGGAUAUGACCGCUGACCGCAUGGUCUGGUGGUGGAAGGAUUUAUCGGCUGGGGAUGGGCCCGCGGCCUAUCAGCUUGUUGGUGGGGUAGUGGCCUACCAAGGCGACGACGGGUAGCCGGCCUGAGAGGGUGACCGGCCACACUGGGACUGAGACACGGCCCAGACUCCUACGGGAGGCAGCAGUGGGGAAUAUUGCGCAAUGGGCGGAAGCCUGACGCAGCGACGCCGCGUGGGGGAUGACGGCCUUCGGGUUGUAAACCUCUUUCAGCAGGGACGAAGCCGCAAGGUGACGGUACCUGCAGAAGAAGCACCGGCCAACUACGUGCCAGCCGCCGCAGUAAGAC
rnacentral:rRNA from 1 species